CACUCUUGCUUCCCACGUAGUUCGACAGGAAAAACAUUCCUGAAAAACUAAGGCUUAAAGCUUAAGAACACACACACAGCUGCUACAGGCAGCUCAGGCUUGUUUGCUGAGCUAAGUUAGCUCCUACUGUCUCAGCUGCAACAUGUUACAUUUCAAAGCACAAAAUAAACAAACAAACCAAUAAACACAAAUCCCAACAAAUCAUGAAAUUGUAUCUUGAUGGAAACAAUGUCCGACACCAUCCAACCUCCACUUAUUACAACAGAAAUAAACACAAUAGGAUUUUAAUACAAAGAUGAACCAUAUUAUCAGUCUUCCAGUGCUGACAUUAAACCAAGAGCAUGUCAUUUUUUAAUAUAACUGCUGUUGAUCUGGAUGCUGGCAGUUCUCUAAAUGUUGUCAAAAUGUUCUGAGUUGGAUUUUGUUGCUGACGUUGUUCGUGAGUCUUGAGUUUUGUUGAAAUAAUCUUUUUAUGGACCUGAAACAAAAUCAGAACAAAUACGACUUCAAAAGUGAAAAACAAAGAAAUAAUGGUGCCAAAGAUGUGAUGAUGCUUUCUGACCUUUUACACUUUCACUCUUUAAUCACACAGAACUGAUCUCAUCAGGGAAACUUACACUUUCUCACAUUUUAGCUGCAUGUGUUUGAAAUCUAAAAGGCUCAUUAUUUUAUUCAGACACCACAACAGCAACAGAACGUAACAAAAGUAAAUCAUAUAAAAAGUGAUUCAGCUCAUCAGCUCCACAAAACUCUGAAAGUUUAACAAGGAUGUAACACAUUUUACUGCACAUGCAUGCAUGUCACUGUGAUGAAUAAAGCGAAGUUUAAUAAAUGAAAUGUAUCUUUUCUGUUGAUGAUGAUUAAAAAUAAUUACUCUCAACCUAAUGUGGCAAAACAGAAGAUAUCAAAGUGAUUUCCUUUUUCAUACACCUGCUUCAAUAUGUGUAUUGUAUUCAUGGUGUGAUUUUAAGGUGUAAUAAUGUGUUUUAAGACUCUUGCUGCACUGUUUUCUUUUAGGUCUCAUGGCAGAGGACCCAACAGCGACAUAUUAUCGACUGAAAAACAGCUCAGUGUGUCUGAAUGUCAGGAAACCGCCACCAUAUAAACGUGACACUGGCAUAUAUGAAGUCUCAUACCGCCAAAACUUUAUUACAAUGUCAGAGAAACAUCAAGUCAUUGUUCAAGAUGUGGUUCCCACACCUGUCAUUAUAAUGUCAAAGCUUGGCUCCAACCAGUCUGCUGGACUCUGCAGUAUCACAGUAAACUGCUCCAUCCAGGAUUAUUGGCUUUGGUCUGUUUGUGAUGAAGACGGCUGCAGAACAUCCCAGU
ensembl:lncRNA